rnacentral:snRNA from 1 species
CUGCUUACUCAAACAGCAUAUGUACUAAAAAUGGAACAAAACAGAGAAGAUUAGCAGCACCCUGAAGAGGAAUGGCAUGGAAAUUCAUGAAACAUUCCAUAUUCUC